UUAUAAAUAAAAAGAAAUUAAUUAAUAUCUUUAAUAGACCAUUAAAACACUAAAUUAAUAUUUAGAAAAUUUAUUUAAACUGACUGUAAUAAUCUAUAUUCUUACAACUAACCGACUCUAUGCCACACUUAAAUAUUCUCAACGGAGUGCCUGUAAGGAACAAAAUAAUUUGCCUCUCAUUGGCAACUUAAAAACUUGAGUUCUAGUAGACAACAUUUUGAAAUUAUUGAUUUAUGGCCUACUCUGAAGAACUUUAAGUCAUUUUUGAUUGAAUUGACUAAAAUCCAUUUACAAAAAGUCAAGAUAUUAGAACUGCUAUUCCAAGAGUGCCUGUAAUAAAUGAAAUAAUUUGUCUCUUAAUGAAACAUACUUUUAUUACGUACACCCAUCAUCGAAAAUAUCGAUUAAAAGAGACGACAUUUACCCCCCCACGGCGGUGAAAAAACAGCAGCGAUAUAAUAAUAAGGGAUGAAUGGGUCGGUCGUAUGACCCAGAAGCCAGGAGGGUGUUUGACAAAAGGGUGGAUUUAUGACGACACCAGGGGCGGACCAUUAAGAAAAACUGAUAUUUUUAAAUGACAACAGACACAUGAGAAUUACAUAAAGAGAAUAAUGAAUUUUGACUAAAAAUUGAAGUCAGUCAAGUUCGUAAAAACACUUGUGAGAAAUUGUUAUUUUUGAUUAAAAGGAAUGAAAUAUUAAACAGUUUAAGUAAGUCUUCCUCUGGGUAUUCUUCUAAGCAUUAAAGGCAUAAAAACCUCCUCUAAACCCUCUUAAAAUCCUCAAUGUCUUACCAUUUAUCAGGUGACCAGACUAUCGAUGCACACUUUACUUUAAAUCUAAUAAAGAAAAAAAAUUCCUAUAAGAGGAAUUUUUUUUUGUUUACCCACCAAGUGCACCCCUGUUAAAUUCGAUUUCACCCUAUAGGGGUGCGGCUUGCGGUAGCAGUAAUAAGGGUUUUCCGACGGCCUUGAUCAGCGAACGAUCUGAGGAGGGUGCAACCAGUGAAAAAAAAAUUUUCUCUCCCUUUUAUUCAAUAUUUAUAGUCGGUUCGAUAAGUUCGAGGGGAGAAGGGAGGACUUAUAGUAGAAAAUCAAAUCAGCUAUUUAGUCUAACAAACCCUGUAGAAUUGGAAAAUUCAAGCCAUAGCAUACUUAUUAAGG